AGAAGGGCGGGAGGGUACACGUCCUCGGGUGAUGAUUUCCUCGCCCGACGUGAAGUUUCAACUGGGAAACUCCAGGUGACCACACCUCACCUGCUCCCGACAGUUCGCCCGCGGGCAGUUGCUGCAACCAAUGAGAACAAUGCUGGUGGUGAAUGGCCUCCACCGAGUGCCUCGGACGAAGGCACCGAAAUGGACCCAGGGCAAUCCGCGGUCCAUCUGGGCACGCGGUAAUGUGAGCCUCUGCCAAGUCGGGAGCCCUUCUCUGGGGUUACAAAGAUAAAGGCCGCCGGCCCUCGAGGAACCCGCAGAAGCAAGGAAGAGAGCACCAUGAAAUGCAAGCUAUUUAACUUAUGCUCUGUAUGGUUUGGGGGGAGUUGUUUUAGCCCCUAGUAACAGUUUCUUGGUCUACGGUGUAGUAAUAAUGAUACUGAUGCUGGAAGUCGGUUAAUAAGGUUUUGCAUAAUGUAGGCAAAGUACCUGACACCAUGAGUGGCCCUAGUAGUCACCCAACAAAUGGCUUAUUUAAUGCACUUUUCGUUUGUGCAAGAAAAAGCCUGAUUUCUAAUUUCAGGGAGAGACUCAUCUAUGAACUGCUUGGUGUUUUAUAGAACUACCCUACCCCCACCCGGUCCUGGCUCUUUGCCCCACAGAAACAUACAGAGGCCAAUCCAAAGGUUAAGUGCUCCUGCAGUCCUCUCUUCUCCUACCUCAUUAAUUUUCUCCCUUUAUUGGAUCAUCUCCAUCUACAUAAAAUCAUGCUACUUCUCCCAUCUUAAAAACAAAAAAAAACCUCUUGAAUCCCCUUCCCCCACCAGCCACUUGCCCCUCUUCUGCUCUGCUAUAGCAAAAUGCCUGUAAAGAAUUUUCACAAGGGGCACCUGGGCGGUUCAAUGGCUCACACAUCUGACCUCCACUCAGGUCUCAUGGUUCAUGAGUUCAAGCCCCACAUCAGGCUUUGCGCUGAUAGCCUGCUAGGGAUUCUUUCUCCCUCUCUCUGCCCCUACCCUGCUUGCACGCUCUCAAAAUAAACAAAUAAACUUUAAAAACAAAACAAAGAAUUGUUAACAAAAGCCGUCUCCAUGUGCUGUCCUCCCAUUUACUCCAGUCAGGCUUUUGCUUUGACCACGUCCCUCAAAUUCUUCUUACCGAGAUCAAACUCUCAAAUCAAAAGGUGUUUCAGUCUUUACCUCACUUGGACAGUCAGCAGCAAUUAACAGUUGAUCACUUUCUCCUCCUGGAAACGGUUUUGACUUCCACACCACCAUGUUUUCAUGGCUUUAUUCCUAACCUUUGCCUGUCCCUUCUUUUCCCCCAGCCGCUGAGCUGUGGAGUGCCCAGGGUUUGGACUUUGGAUCUCUUGUCUAUCCACACUCUCUCCCAUGGUGAUCUCAUCCUGUUUCAUGGCACUAAAUACCACCUAUGUGGUAACGACUCCCAAAUCUCACCUCCAGCCGGGCGUUCUCCCCUGAACUGCAGGCUUCAGGCAGCUGCUCACUUGGAUGCCUAUAGGGCUUCUCCCACUGAACAUUUCCAACGCUGACAUCCUGAGAGUCCUCCCUCUGUCCCCCACCCAACCUGUCCAAACUCAAGUCUCACUCCUAUCAGGCCUAAAACCUUGGUAUCAUCUUUGAUUUUCUAUUUCUCUUGCAUUUCCAAUCCAAUCCGUCAGGAAAUCCUUUUAGCUCUACUUCAAAAGAAGUCCGAGAAUUCAACUGCUUAGCACCACCACUGUUCUUACCACCCAGGUCUAACCUACCAUCAUGUCUUCACUUUGAUUGCCCUAACCCUGUUUCUACUUUUGCCCCCCCUCUCUGGGCUCUUCUCAACACAGCAGCCAGAGCAAUCCCUUUCAACAGGAAGCUCAUAGCCCUCUUCUGCUCAAAACCCUGCGAUGAACCCCAUCUCAAUCAGAACAAAAGCGAAAGUCCAUACAAUAGCCCGGAAGGACGAUACGUGAUCUGCCUUUCUCUAGGCUCAGCUCCCACUUCUCUCACUUCACUUACUUAGCUGCUGCCACAGUGGCCUCCUCGGUAUUCCUGGACUAGAUCCCUGGACAGGUAUGCUUCCAUCUCAGGGCUUUUAUGCUAGCUGGCCUCUCUGUCUGGACUUGUCCUCUCCCCAGCUGUUUUGCUCCCUCACUUCCUUCAAGACCCUGAUCAAUUGUCACCAUGUCCCUCAGGCCUACCCUCAGUCUUUAAAAUUAAAAAUGCAUUCUUCAUAUAGUAAGCUUUCUUUAGUGUUUUAUUGACAGAACGUUUACCUUCUAUAAUAUUAUAAAAUGUCCUUUAAAAGUUGUAUUUGUUGUCUAACUCUCCUCACUAGAACAGGAGUUCUGGGCAGGCAGGGAUUUUUGUCUGUUCUCUCCAGUGAUAGAUUCCCGAUGCCCCUAGAAUGAUGGCUGGCAUUUAGUGUGCAUGGUAGCUUUGGGCCAGAGCACAUGGUUGCAAAUAUUUCCUUGCCCAGAAUGAUGCCAGUUGACCAGAUAGACAUUUUCGAGAUGGUUGUGCUCCCCCAAAGGGUCUGAGGAGUAUGUUUACCAACACAUACAUGGGAGGGGCUCAAAGAAUAUUUAUUCACUGUGACUUUUUUUUUCUAAUAUUUUAUUUUAUUAUUUUAAAAUUUUUAUCCUAUUUUUAUUUUUUUAUAUUAAAUAUAAUUUACUGUCAAAUUGGUUUCCGUACAACACCCAGGGCUCAUCCCAACAGGUGACUUUUUAAAGUGACUAAAGCCAGUGGUACGUCUCACUCCAGCUUGCGUUCGUGUGGUUUUCAAUAGCUUUCAUUAUUCCACGGGCUCCUGAGAUGAAGCGGUCCCCCGAAAGGUGCAAAGCUUAAACUAAAUGUGAAAUGCAGACCCCAAGCAUCUUAAAAUGUGGAGAAGACACUCAAUGUAAUACCAGCUAUUAUGUGAUAAUUCUUAUUAUCAGAAUGUCUGUGUUGGUGGACAUACUCUACCAUAAUUAAUGACCACAAUUAAGUUGACAGCAUUCAUAUCUGAGAGAAGGUAGCUAACAUUCAUUCAGAGCAACGGUUAUUGUCUAUACCAAGCACUCUUCCAAAUAUAUUAGAGUAUUAAUGAGUUGAAUCCUAUAACAACCCUCCAAGGUAAGUGCUAUUACUCCCAUUUUAAAACCGAAAAAAAAAAAAUGAGGCACAGAAGAGUUAAUGGUCACUCAGUUAAUAAGCUGGUAGAAUCAGAAUUUUAACACGGGCCAGAUGGUUCUAGACUAUGCUCUUAAAUACUCUGCUCUACCUCUUUAAGUAGGAAUGAUGUAUCAGGGGAAAUUUCUGUAUAAAGAUUAAUUUGUAAAUCACAAAGCAAAAAACUUGAUCCUCAUUGGCCCCCUCUCACUGCCUUGUUUUAUUUGUUGCCAUCUCUCUUUUACUGUAGCCAACCUCCUUCAAGGCUAGAGGGAUCAUUUGAUUCAUAUUUGUGUCAAGGAUACUCUAAGACACAUACAUGGGAGGGGCUCAAAGAGUAUUUAUUCACGGUGACUUUUUUUUUCUAACAUUUUAUUUUAUUAUUUUAAAAUUUUUAUCCUAUUUUUAUUUUUUUAUAUUAAAUAUAAUUUACUGUCAAAUUGGUUUCCGUACAACACCCAGGGCUCAUCCCAACAGGUGACUUUUUAAAGUGACUAAAGCCAGUGGUACGUCUCACUCCUGCUUGCGUUCGUGUGGUUUUCAAUAGCUUUCAUUAUUCCACGGGUGCCUGAGAUGAAGCGGUCCCCCGAAAGGUGCAAAGCUUAAACUAAAUGUGAAAUGCAGACCCCAAGCAUCUUAAAAUGUGGAGAAGACACUCAAAAUGUAACACCAGCUAUUAUGUAAUAAUUCUUAUUAUCAGAAUUUCUUUUAAUUAUGAUAUUUUUAAAAAUAGAAAAAAAAUGAGCUCUUUUCUUCUACUUUUUCCAUUUCCUGGGUUCUUUACAAUGAAGUCCCCUAAGUAAUCCCAGACCAGAGCCACACCUCACUCUAUCUGCCCUUCUCUAUUGUCCAGUAGGAUUUGGUGUUGUAAACAACACAGCUGAACUUCCUUCCCUGUCCCCUUCUCUAGGAUCUGGAGUGGUUGCAAUACCUGAUUUUACUUUGCUGUUUCCUCCCCUGAAGUAGGAAAUGGAGAAAUGUUGCACAAAGUGAUAUUGUAAAUUCCUUAUGAGUUAUUGCAUUUGGAAUUAAUUUUGCUAUUGUGCCCUCUCAUCAGCAAACACCAGUUGGACCUGAUUAACUCAUGUCCUGAACCUGAACAUCUCUUCCUCUCUCUGCAGUGAUAGCCUAACACAUCUUUGUAGCUAGUAACUUGGGCCAUUCUCAACCCCAGUCCAACUUGUGGAACAGCUACUUGUACUGAUGUUCUCUUUAAUAUUAAUCCUAUAUAAAGAAUCAAGGGUUUUUUUUUUUUUUUUUUUUACGUUUAUUUUUACUUUUGAGAGAGCGAGAGAGACAGAGCAUGGGUGGGGGAGAGGCAGAGAGAGAAGGAGAUAGAAUCCAAAGCAAGCUCCAGGCUCUGAACUGUCAACACAGAGCACUUACACAGGACUCCAACCCCUAAGCUGCAAGAUCAUGACCUGAGCCGAAGUCAGAAGCUUAAACUACUGAGCCACCUAGGUGCCCCAAGCCUAUAUAAAGAAUCAAGAAUUUUUUAUUUGCAGAGUGCAAUGGAAAGAUCACUGGUCAUGGAGUCAGACAGCCCUUGGUUUAAACCCUGACUCAGCCCCAUUUGAAUGUGUUACUUACUUUCAUUAAGAAACAAGCUUCUUUUCUGAAAAAUGAGACUGAUAAUACCUGACUCGUAUUUUAAUGAAUGAAUGUGAUAAGGCACCAUGCUUUCCACAGGAGAUAGGUAGCACCCAGGGAACACACGAAAGUGUAGUUUUUUUUUUUUCCUUUUUUUUAAAAAUAAAAAUGGUAUAUAUUUAAGGCAACAUGAUGAUUUCAUGGACAUACAAAUAGUAAAAGGUUUACUAAGUCUAACAUAUCUUCUCACAUAGUUACCUUAUUUGUGUGGGUGGUAAGGACACCUGAAAUCUACCCUCUUAUCAAUUUUCCAAUAUUCAAUACAAUAUUAUUAACUAUAGUCAUCAUGUUGUACAUUAGAUCUCUAGACUUAUUUAUACUUUUAACUUCAACUCUAUACUCUUUGACCAGCAUGUCCCCACUUUCCCCACCCAUUUUCCCCAUCUCUCUGCCCCCAGUUAUCACCUUUCUGCUCUCUGCUUCUAUGUAAUCGACCCUUAGAUUCCACAUAUAAGUGAGAUCAUGCAGUUCUUUUCUUUCCAUGUCUGGCAUAUUUAAAGUCCUCACUGAAAGAGUCGUUUCCAACCACACUUGUCUUCUCUUGUGGAACUGUUGUCAAUGACAUCAACCAUUUUGUUUGGAUUAUCCUAUGUUGAGUUCCACAUCAUAAACUCAUUUUAGAAUUUAGUACUAAAAUAAAGUUUCUCUUUCUUAAAAAAUCGAUGUUCCUUCAUUUCUUAGAAAAGGUAUUUUGUCUACUUUCACAGUGGAUUUGCCAUUGUUGUUAAGGAGAACUGUGUAAACCCAUGUUUCCCUUUGUAUCCUGGUUGCCAGGAAGCUCAAAGUCAUUAAAUGAUUGUACUAUGGAAAUAAAGAUUUUGCUUCCUACCAUU